rnacentral:rRNA from 1 species
UACGAAGGGGGCGAGCGUUGUUCGGAAUUACUGGGCGUAAAGGGCGCGUAGGCGGCGCACCAAGUCAGGCGUGAAAGCCCUGGGCUUAACCCAGGAAUUGCGUUUGAGACUGGCGUGCUGAGUGCAGGAGAGGUCGGCGGAAUUCCCAGUGUAGAGGUGAAAUUCGUAGAGAUUGGGAAGAACACCUGAGGCGAAGGCGGGUUGCUGGGCCGACACUGACGCUGAGGCGCGAAAGCCAGGGGAGCAAACGGGAUAGAUGACCCUUGA